rnacentral:lncRNA from 1 species
CUGACUAGCGGAGGGCGGCUCCGCUGAUGAACGUGUUUGGAGGCUCCGGCCGCGGCGUCGGACCGCCCGGGGCCGCCAUGGGGCCGGGGGAGAGCCUGCGGGGCCGUCCGGCACACAGCCUCGUCACCCGGGGUGUGAAGAAAACAAACCAUGACAAUCCAAUGGGCGGCGGUUGCCAGCUUUCUUUAUGCCGAAAUAGGACUCAUUUUAAUCUUCUGUUUGCCCUUUAUUUCUCCUCAGAGAUGGCACAAGAUUUUUUCCUUUAGUGUCUGGACCAAGAUCGCCAGCUUCUGGAACAAAGCCUUUCUUACCAUUAUAAUUCUAUUGGUCGUUCUGUUUCUAGAUGCCGUGAGAGAAGUAAAGAAGUAUUCCUCCAUAAAUGUCGUUGAGAAGAACUCAGCCAGCAGACCUGCUGCCUAUGAGCAGGCACAGAUGAGGCUCUUCAGGUCUCAAAGAAAUCUUUAUAUUUCUGGAUUCUCGUUAUUUUUUUGGCUAGUGUUGAGACGUCUGGUUACGCUUAUUACUCAGCUGGCAAAAGAAAUAACAAACAAAGGAGUGCUUAAAAUUCAAGCAGAAAAUACCAAUAAGGCUGCCAAGAAAUUCAUGGAAGAGAAUGAAAGACUAAAAUUGGUGCUAAAAAAUAAUGACAACACUGAAGAACACGUUUUGGAAACUGAAAAUAAAAAGCUAGUAGAGGACAAGGAGAGACUGAAAACUGAGCUGAAGAAGGCUUCCGAUGCCCUUUUUAAGGCCCAAAAUGAUGUGAUGACCAUGAAGAUUCAGUCGGAGAGACUUUCUAAAGAAUAUGACCGACUCCUGAAAGAGCACUCAGA